UUCCGGAAAACACUGUUAGGCAUUCAUGAUUGGUCAAAAGAACAUGACAAUCUAUGAUUACCGAAUCAAGGUGGGACAAACUCAGUUCAGCAGAGGGAGUAAAAUAAGACGGAAGAGCGAGAUCGAAACCUAGGACCAUCUCAAAAGACUUCCAAGAAAUUACGUUUCGAAAGUGAGAUAUCUUGUACCAUGGAAACACUUGAGUCUCUGCCUCGUCCACAUCAGCAAUAACUCAUCACUCCUACUCCAGGUUUUAUGGAAAGUUUUCUUAAUGCUCUGAGAACCUGUAGAGAAGGUUAUGCUGAAGUACUGAAAUUCCCAAAGAAGAACGUUCUCUGAACAGAUGAAUGGAACGACAAGGAUCUCAUCACAGCAUCUCUGUGCAUUCUAAUUGCCAUCGAUAAAAUGCAAUUGUGUUCGUUGUCCGUAGCUUCUGCCUGCCCAUACCAUAACCCUAGCACCACGG